rnacentral:snoRNA from 1 species
AAUCCAUGUUGUGGACACGGUUUGAGCAAUCCCUUGUACCUCUCGCAGCCUGAUGUGACAUUUCGAAUCAUGUUGAGCAAAUAUAGGGAUCUCAUCUCUCAGUCU